UCUCGGUGGGGAUUCAGGAGCUGCUGAGC
rnacentral:piRNA from 1 species